AUAAGAUGGGCCCGCGUCCAAUUAGCUAGUUGGUGGGGUAGAGGCCUACCAAGGCGACGAUUGGUAGCCGAACUGAGAGGUUGAUCGGCCACAUUGGGGCUGAGACACGGCCCAGACUCCUACGGGAGGCAGCAGUGGGGAAUAUUGCGCAAUGGGGGGAACCCUGACGCAGCAACGCCGCGUGAAGGAUGAAGGUCUUCGGAUCGUAAACUUCUUUGAUUGGGGAAGAAGCAGUGACGGUACCCAAAGAACAAGCCACGGCUAACUACGUGCCAGCAGCCGCGGUAAUACGUAGGUGGCAAGCGUUGUCCGGAAUUACUGGGUGUAAAGGGCGUGUAGGCGGGGAUGCAAGUCAGAUGUGAAAAUCCGUGGCUCAACUGCGGAACUGCAUCUGAAACUGUAUCUCUUGAGUGCUGGAGAGGGAAGUGGAAUUCCUAGUGUAGCGGUGAAAUGCGUAGAGAUUAGGAAGAACACCAGUGGCGAAGGCGGCUUCCUGGACAGUAACUGACGCUGAGGCGCGAAAGCGUGGGGAGCGAACAGGAUUAGAUACCCUGGUAGUCCACGCCGUAAACGAUGGAUACUAGGUGUAGGAGGUAUCGACCCCUUCUGUGCCGGAGUUAACACAAUAAGUAUCCCACCUGGGGAGUACGGCCGCAAGGUUGAAACUCAAAGGAAUUGACGGGGGCCCGUACAAGCAGUGGAGUAUGUGGUUUAAUUCGAAGCAACGCGAAGAACCUUACCAGGGCUUGACAUCCUCUGACCGCUCUAGAGAUAGAGCUUUCCUUCGGGACAGAGAGACAGGUGGUGCAUGGUUGUCGUCAGCUCGUGUCGUGAGAUGUUGGGUUAAGUCCCGCAACGAGCGCAACCCCUGUUGUUAGUUGCCAGCAAGUAAAGUUGGGCACUCUAACGAGACUGCCGGUGCUAAUCGGAGGAAGGUGGGGAUGACGUCAAAUCAUCAUGCCCCUUAUGUCCUGGGCUACACACGUACUACAAUGGCUGUUACAGAGGGGAGCUAAGCCGCGAGGUGGAGCAAAUCCCAAAAGGCAGCCCCAGUUCGGAUUGCAGGCUGCAACCCGCCUGCAUGAAGUCGGAAUUGCUAGUAAUGGCAGGUCAGCACACUGCCGUGAAUACGUUCCC
rnacentral:rRNA from 1 species